rnacentral:tRNA from 1 species
ACCUGGGUGGCUCAGUCGGUUAAGCGUCUGACUUCAGCUCAGGUCAUGAUCUCAAGGUUCGUGGGUGCAAACCCCACAUCGGGCU